GGCUGUUCUCCUGUGACACAUCCCAGAAUUGGGCUCCCUCCUCUCUGGUUCCGGGUGUAUCACCAGAGAACCACA
rfam:Myotis davidii contig35276, whole genome shotgun sequence.